rnacentral:tRNA from 2 species
CGCGGGGUAGAGCAGAGGCAGCUCGCCGGCUUCAUACGCCGGAGGUCGAGGGUUCGAAUCCCUCCCCCGCUGCCA